CCUAUUCUCAAACUUUAAAUGGGUAAGAACCUCAUCUUUCUUGAUCUGAAGAUAUUGGGGUUUAGAUAUAUUGUGCCCAGUGGGCCACUUUUGGUAAGCAGAACUGGCGCUGUGGGAUGAACCAAACAUGAUGUUACGGCGCCUAAAUUAAUGACUCAUAUUGAUACCAUGAAAGGCGUUGGUUGCUUAAAACAGCAGGACGGUGGACAUGGAAGUCGUAAUCCGCUAAGGAGUGUGUAACAACUCACCUGCCGAAGCAACUAGCCCUUAAAAUGGAUGGCGCUCAAGUCAUAUGCCUAUACAUCAUCGCUAGAAUAAAAAUUGUUGGCCAUUCGGUCAUCAAUGUGAAAUUCUAGUGAGUAGGAGGGUACAAUGGUGUGCGCAGAAGUGUUUGGCGUGAGCCUGCAUGAAGCCGCCAUUGGCACAGAUCUUGGUGGUAGUAGCAAAUAAUCGAAUGAGAUCUUGGAGGACUGAAGUGGAGAAGGGUUUCGUGUGAACAGUGGUUGAUCACGAGUUAGUCGGUCCUAAGCCUUAUGCGAAAGCUGU
rnacentral:rRNA from 13 species